AACAGAAAUGUAGAAUGACAGUCGCUCAAUCUGUUGCAAGCAAUGACUUUCAAACAGCAAGUGCUAAAGAAGCCAAACACGCAGAAUUACAAGUCCAACGCUGAAACUGCUGGAAAAGAACAGUGAAAAAGAUACAGGUCUUCAUUCUUGAUGGGAUUCAGAAACUGAACUACUGUGUCUUCACAGACAAAUAAUCCAAAAUCAGCCUAAGAGUGUGGAGUAAACAGCAUCAAGCCUCUCUUUAAUAGGGAACUCAUCUAUAAAAACAAACACUUGUUAUACUUUUAUGAAUUAUCAAGUUGUACAACACACAGCAAUAAGGAUUUAGACAAACAAUCACAGAUUUUAUUAAUUUUAUUGUUGUGUCUAAUAUAUAUAGAAACAACUUGUGUUGUAAAAGAAAGGAUGACAGCAUAUCUCUUUAUCACGUGCCAGUAUAGGCCCUGACUGCACGUGAGAACAUUUGAAUUAUCUGGCACGAGGUCUCACACGUCAUACUUCAACUGACACAACGGUCUCGAUGGUAGGAAUAAGCAAAAGCUCCUUUAAAUUUCGUCAUUUUUUUUAUACACAUCCCGUUUAUUUUGUAGUUAAUUGUUAGAUAAGUUAGUAAUUUCGUAAAUUUUUCGUUACAGGGUAAGAUUUCGUUACCAUAUACAGUAAAUAUUGGUUCAAGAGGGCAGUUUGAUAACUCAGUCGAGGUUUGUAAAUGGUAAAUAACUUAUUCGAGGUUUGUAGCCAUAUUUAAGUAACUCGCUUACUUUGUUUCAGUGUUUGAGUAAAUGUAUAAUGUUAUUAAGUAAUAAUUAAUAUAAGUUACUGCGCGAGCUCAUUACGGCCGUUUCUCAAUCCGAAGGCUACUGGAGGUGGCAUUUGUAGGCUGUAUACGUCAUCAAGACUGUCAGAUUUAAGAAUAUUAACAAUUCUAAAGUUGACUAUUAUUCUUAGUUAAUCGUAAAUUGUUGUAAUAUGCGUAUGACUUGCGAAUGUAAUGCUCAUUUAACUUAAAUAAACCAGGCUUGAUGACGUAUGCAGCCUGCAUAUGCGACCUCCGCAGGAUGCAGCCUUCCGUUUCAGAAACGGCCUACAAGUGUGAGCGUGCGCGAGAUUCUGUCUGAAUUGAUUCAUUAGUAAUGGCAAAGCAAAAAUUUACUGUCGUGGUGAUUAAACGCAUUUUAAAGUUUAAAUUAAAACGCCUAACUUACCUUUCCAGGGGUUUCUGUUCCUGCAGUCUUUCAGGGGUGCUGGCGCGUAUGACGAUGCGGACAUGAACAGCAUACUACAGUAUACCGCCACCUACUGUACUGUAGUACAAUAACGUCUUUUAAACAUCUAAACAUGUCCUCCAAAAAGGUUUCCUGUGCUGUUUUGCUCCAUUUUACUGAACAAAAUAAGGCUGAGGUACCACCAUCCUUGUGGUUAGAGUGAAAGAAUGUGGGUAUUGAGACCAAAAUAAACAAUGUGCCAUUCUGGACAAACAGCUGUGGACAAUAUGCAGUCAGAGUAGCCCAUUUUCUCACACAGACCUGAAGAUAAGAUUUCCAGUUUAAAAGUGAAGAAAAUGAAUCAUUAUUAACAGCAAAUAGGAGUAUUUCUCAGCUGAAAAGCCAGGUGAAACUAUAAGGUCACUAUGAUUCACUUUCAUAUUAUCAUUCUUUUCAGAUUUUUUUCCCUGUGUUUUUUUUGUUAGAUGAGGAGCAACCAGUAAGAAAAAGCAAAAAGAUGUUUUGAUGUUGCCUGAGGCACCUUAUUUUCCAUUUCAUGCACAAUCACAAAUGCAGCACAUCAAUCAAUUUCUUCCAACCAGCGAAUCAAGAAAUCUUGGAGUGGAGAAUCAUUCUGAAAGUAGACCAAAUCCAGGACAACAUCACAACAGUGGUCGGAAAAAUGCAGCAAGCCAAGCUGACUUUCAAAAGAUGAUUCGUUAUCUGUUUCUUCAGAGGGGAGGCAGUUUGGGAGAUGGGAAUUAGGAGGAUGCUACAGCUACACAGGGC